GAGUUUGAUUAUGGCUCAGGAUGAACGCUGGCGGCAUGCCUAACACAUGCAAGUUGAACGAGAAGUUCUGGAGGGAGUCUUCGGACGAACGAAGGGAUGGAAAGUAGCGAACGGGUGAGUAACGCGUGGGCAACCAACCUUACACAGGGGGAUAACACAGAGAAAUCUGUGCUAAUACCGCAUAAGCGCACAGUAUCACAUGAUACGGUGUGAAAAACUCUGGUGGUGUAAGACGGGCCCGCGUCUGAUUAGCUAGUUGGUGGGGUAAAAGCCUACCAAGGCGACGAUCAGUAGCCGACCUGAGAGGGUGAUCGGCCACAUUGGGACUGAGACACGGCCCAAACUCCUACGGGAGGCAGCAGUGGGGGAUAUUGCACAAUGGAGGAAACUCUGAUGCAGCAAUGCCGCGUGAAGGAAGACGGUUUUCGGAUUGUAAACUUCUAUCAGCAGGGAAGAAAAUGACG
rnacentral:rRNA from 1 species